UGGGGAAUUUUGGACAAUGGGCGCAAGCCUGAUCCAGCAAUGCCGCGUGCAGGAUGAAGGCCUUCGGGUUGUAAACUGCUUUUGUACGGAACGAAACGGCUCUGGUUAAUACCUGGGGCUAAUGACGGUACCGUAAGAAUAAGCACCGGCUAACUACGUGCCAGCAGCCGCGGUAAUACGUAGGGUGCGCGCGUUAAUCGGAAUUACUGGGCGUAAAGCGUGCGCAGGCGGUGAUGUAAGACAGAUGUGAAAUCCCCGGGCUCAACCUGGGAACUGCAUUUGUGACUGUAUAGCUAGAGUACGGCAGAGGGGGAUGGAAUUCCGCGUGUAGCAGUGAAAUGCGUAGAUAUGCGGAGGAAAACCGAUGGCGAAGGCAAUCCCCUGGGCCUGUACUGACGCUCAUGCACGAAAGCGUGGGGAGCAAACA
rnacentral:rRNA from 1 species